rnacentral:rRNA from 1 species
UACGGGGGGGGCAAGCGUUGUUCGGAAUUACUGGGCGUUAAAGGGCUCGUAGGCGGCCACUAAGUCCCGCGUGAAAUCCCCCGGCUCAACUGGGGAACUGCGCGGGAAACUGUGGGGCUAGAGUUCAGGAGAGGGAAGCGGAAUUCCGGGUGUAGCGGUGAAAUGCGUAGAUAUCCGGAGGAACACCGGUGGCGAAGGCGGCUUCCUGGACUGGACACUGACGCUGAGGCGCGAAAGCUAGGGGAGCAAACGGG